ensembl:lncRNA
AGGGCAGCUGGUCUGAAGGAAUACUUCAUUUAGCUGCAGCGGGAGGGGGAAGUCUGCUAGCCCCAGCCUGCUUAUCCAGACUGGAGCGUGGCCACCGCGCUGUGGUUUAACAUCCCAGACUGGGGAGAAAAGCCACCGAUGAGGUCUGUAGUGACUCCGAGUGCCCAGGCCUCUGCUUUGGUCUCGUUUGCGAGAGAGGUCCUUGAAAAUCGCAGAAACUGUUGUGCCUCUGAGGGUGGAGCCCAGAGUUCCUAUCGAGGCCCCAGGUACCAAAUUUCUGGUCUUCGGAAGAAGCCUUCAUCCUGAGACAUCAGCGCCUGCUGCUGAAAUACGACUUUCCUCUUCAUCCCGCUCCAUCUCUGUGAAGUAGGAGGAGGGCGACCGUGUUUCUGGGGACAACCCCCGCAGAAUGACCAGAAUUUAGAAAACGGCUUAAAUCUAAUUGGCUCCCUAAGGAUCUCAGUUCCUGUUACUUGUGAGGUGUUUUUUUUCUGAGAGGCAUCUGGAGAGAGUGAACUGCCUCUGCUAGUUGGCAGGCAAGACAGCACAGAUCUGGGGCACUGGGAGUCCAGCGUGCAUGUUGUCUCUGCCACUGUGGAGCUAUCUAGCCCCAGGUCAUCCGCAGCCAGUAUGAUGCCAUCUUUAUAAUCCCUGGAGGAGAACGUGCUCAUCAUGAGCAGGUUUGUUGUGAACUAAACUGGAAUUUUAAAAAACAAUUUCAACAUUUUAAGGACCCACAAUGGUGAAAAGCUAAGAGUAAAGACUUAAAGCAGCUGUAUUUUAAGUAGAAGAGCCUUUUCUCCAUUCUCCCAGCAGUCUUGGUCUGCAUUAAAUAAAUC